rnacentral:lncRNA from 1 species
CAGAAUUGCAGGCUUUGUACUGAGGAUGUAUUUUGUGUCCCGCCUUCCCACCUGAGGACGUCUGACCAGGUUACUUUGCCAGAAGCCCCCUCAGAGAACUUUACUACCAAGGAUGAUGUAUGAGCUGGAGACAACGGCUUUACUGUCCAAUGCCCACACUGAGUUCACUGCAUGGGCAGGACCAUGUGGAAUUCAUCAGCACUGUGAAGCCCUGGAGGUAUGCAGAAACCAUGUUAUUAAUGCUAUUAGUGCUAAUUAAUUCUGCCAACAAGGCCUCUGCAACCAGUCAAGACAUUGGUCUUUGCCAAAACCAACAGAUUAAAUAAAUUUAAAGUUCUUGGACAAGCAAUUCUGCAGUUAUAAUGAGCCAAAAGGAAGGUUAGGGGAACUCUGAGAAAAUGAGGUAAUUUUUGAACAUUCAUGCAACAUAAAUGCUUUGUAUGCUUUGCUUCAAAUUUGCUAUGCAUUUUCAGAUGGGUUCAUUUCAGUUCGUAUGUAUCUGCAGAGGAUUAGUUAGCUAUUUGAUGAAUAGUUGCUAUAAGAGAACAGUGACAAAAUUCAUAUCUUCAUGAUACAAAUCAUACUUUAGUUUUGAACGUAUUGCAGUACAUUACAGUAAAAUAAUACCAGUUCUCUAAAGAUGCGGGUUUCUAAGAAAUAAUUAUAUGGAAGUUUGUAUAGUGUUACAUGUAUAAUGUAUGUACCGUGAACACAUUAGAUGAGGAAACACAUAAUAAAAUCAUUCAGUUAUAAGUACA